AAAUGUUGUUUUGAGAUCAAGAACUACUCCUACUUUAAUUUCACUUGUCGGGCUUUGUCCUAAACCAACUUCCAUCAACACAAAACACGAAAGGAACAAGACAAAGUGACUCAAAAAGGUGUUACGAGUUUUUUUAGUAGUCUUCAUCAUCGAAAGAUUGGGGAUACGGACACCUAAUGUGAUUCUUUUAACUUCCCAUUUAUGUUAUGUUAUGUUACAUAUAUAAUAUAUAGAGAGAGAGAGAGGAAUGAAUCGGUUUGAAAGAGUCUUAAGAUCUAUGAAGACUUUGAAAUGAUAUUACCAAAAUUGGUACUUAAAAGAAGAAGUCUAGGAAUGAAAAAAAAAACAUUAGUGUUGACUAAAAAGUAAUAAAAAACAAUUGUUUGAAAGAGUCGGAUGAGAUUUGAAAUACAGCGCAGAUGAAAUUUCUUGGCAAAGCAAAGCUACAAAUUUUCGAACUUAUCUUAUAUAGAAAAACAAUUAAACAGAAAAUAAGUAGCCACCUCAAGUGAGAUACGGGGUUCUAAAAUACCAGCAUUGAUUUUGGUUUCUUAGAAUUUUCAUUGUCAUAAAUUUUAUGUAAUAAUUCGAAUAGUUAGAUUCUAAUAUCAGUUGGUGGAUUAGGCGAUUAGCAUACAAAAAUUUAAGGUAACUGAAGUCAGUGUCCCUCAAUCAGUCUAUCUAUUUAUUCAAAAAAUCAGUAUAUUGUUCUCUUAUUUUGAUUUAGAAAAAUUUUUAAAUAAUGAAAAGUGCGGAAAUCAAACAUUCUAUAGAACAACUUUUUUGUCUUCGUAGAAAGAAAUCAAUCAAAAAAAUAUUCUCAUCUAUACUAUUAAAAAAAGAAAGAAUCUUAAAAAAUUUACUUAAACAGGUUAUUGCACCCUUUCAUUUUUAGUCCAAUCUAUUAUAUAUAAUCAAAUAUUAUAACAAACCUUUACUAUAUAGCAACCAAAUAAUAUUCUCUAACAUUUAUAAAUAUAUGUAACCUCUCCUUUAAUCUCAAUUUUUUUUGACCCACUUAUCUUAUCUACGUAUAAAAAUGCUUAAUGGUUACCAAACGUACCCACCUAUAGUAUCUACAACUUAUAACAUCUACCAUUAAUGAUGUACCAAUAUCAACACUAUUAAAAGCAAAUUAUAGCAGACAUUGUGGACAAUGUUAAAGGUUUUGUAUUAUGUUCUUAGAUUAUUGUUGGGAUUGCAAUAUUAAAUUAGAAAAAAUGUGCCAAGUAAAUCUUAAAUCUCAUCAACCUAACAAUAACUCUUAUAAAAUACACACAUUGUAUGAGAGUGAGAGAGUAAGCUUUAGAAUUCGGGUCUCAGACCAAGUAUGGAAUGAUUCUUUUUGGUUUCCAGACAUUAGACCAACUAGGUAUUUGAAUAUUUUCAGUUCGGAUUCAGAUCGGUUCUUUUCAUGUCUGGAUCAGUUCGCAUCAAUAAUUUAAAUAAUUAUAAUUUUUGAGUAUAUGACGGGUCAUGUUAGUUUGGAUAU